UAUAUGGCGAGCAGGGGAGAGAAGGUAUCAGCACAGGUCAUUUUUAGGGUGCCAGGGCAGGGUUGAGGAGGGAGUUCUUAGCAGUAGAAACCCACUGUGUGCUAACAGCAGUGAGGAGAGUCCUAGCAGCAAGGGUGGGAACAGAUAGGCAGCUUCCUAUGGGUGCCCAAGGUCCAACCAUGAGUUUUUUUUAACUCCAGAAACCCAAACAUACACUAUUUGAUAAAACUAAAAUUACUUUAGCUGCUGGAAGCAAAUCUGUGUUUUUUGUGAUUGAUUCAAACCACAGACAGAGCAGUGGAUUGUCUUUCGAUAGGUGUGAAUGGGCUGUAUUAGUCACCAGAGUUUCAAUUGUGCUUCUGUUUAGUUAUUAAACUGCAAUUCCACUGAUACCCCGUCUUGAGUGUCUGCUCUGUGAGUAACAUGAAAAGGACCUCUGGUUAAAUAGAAAACUUGUCUUGAAUUUGGAAUUACAACAUGCCCUUACUUAUUCAGGACUCAAUUAACUAGGCUUCAGGAUAAUCCAAGGUGAGGAAAAACAAGAGCUGACAAAGAAAAGAAAUGGUGCUGCUGCGUUAGGGUCUCCCCAGCUGAGCUGGUCUCGGCAAGUGGUGUCCAUUCGUGGGGGCUUGAAUCCAGGUCGAAGUGUUGCCGGAGCAACGGUUGGAACGGAAAACUAGCUGGAGGACACCCGAGUACUCUAAAAGCAAUCCCUGUGGCCAAAAUCAACAGCCAAUUUGGAUACCAUCAAGACACCUGAAACCUUAUCAUGAGCCAGAUGCCAAGGAAGAGAUUCCGGGAGGAUCCCGAGGACCCCCCGGUUGCAGCCAUGUCGAGACUGACGCUGAGGAGGACCCCAACUGUCACGAGCAACACCCGUUGAACACAGCCACCCACCUGGGGACAGAUCAAGAAGCUGUCACAGAUGGCGGAAGAAAACCUGAGGAAAGCGGGACAACCAGUCACAAUGAACAAUUUAAUGGUAGCUAUGAUAGCGAUUAUCACCACUGCCUCUGCAGAUGUGGAUCCUGACUCCUGCGAGAAGUAGCUCACCAUGACAAAGCUGCCCUUGCUUUUAUCAAUUUGCAAAUCAAAUAAAGAGGACAUGUUGGGAGCAGGCCCCCCCAAAAUCUGGCUAUAAACUGGCCCCAAAACUGGCCAUAAACAGAAUCUCUGCAGCACUGUGACAUGUUCAUGAUGGCCAUAAUGCCCACGCUGGAAGAUUAUGGGUUUAUGGGAAUGAGGGCAAGGAACACCUGGCCCGCCCAGGGCGGGAAAACUGCUUAAAGGCAUUCUUAAGCCACAAACAAUAGCAUGAGCGAUCUGUGUCUUAAGGACAUGCUCCUGCUGCAGUUAAGUAGCCCAACCUAUUCCUUUAAUUCAGCCCAUCCGUUUGUUUCCCAUAAGGGAUACUUCUAGUUAAUUUAAUAUCUAUAGAAACUGCUAAUGACUGGCUUGCUGUUAAUAAAUAUGUGGGUAAAUCUCUGUUCAGGGCUUUCAGCUCUGAAGGCUGUGAGACCCGUGAUUUCCCACUUCACACCUCUA